UCUCACUAUUUAAAACGACUCUCGGCAACGGAUAUCUCGGCUCUCGCAUCGAUGAAGAACGUAGCGAAAUGCGAUACUUGGUGUGAAUUGCAGAAUCCCGUGAACCAUCGAGUCUUUGAACGCAAGUUGCGCCCCAAGCCGUUAGGCCGAGGGCACGCCUGCCUGGGUGUCACGCA
rnacentral:rRNA from 4 species